rnacentral:lncRNA from 1 species
CUAGGAUUGUGAACUGAGAGGCCAGAACAUCAGGUGAAACUCUUCUUCUCUCCUUCCCUUUCUCCUGAGGGAGAAGUGCCAGAAUUGUGUGCCUUCUCUGAAUUCCGCAGAGCCUAGCCAGUUACUGAGAGUCACAGCCACUGUUGAGAUCCUGGAUGACUGCUGAGAUCCGUAGUCUGCUAAAUAUCAUGCCAUCUGCAGUGAUCCUCAUUAUCUACUGAGAUUCUCACCGGCUGCCGUAAUCCAGGAGAGUAACGGUAAGGCGAAUCACUUGGGUCAACUUGAACAAUUCACCUCGUUUCUCUUGUUCUGACUUUCCUCGGAUGUUGAAAGGAGAAGAAAACAGAGGAAGAUGAGUCAAGUAAGAAACUGGAUCUGUCCACUGAAGGAAGAGGAUGUGAAUAACAUGAAAAACUUAUGGGAGCUGAAAGGAACCUUGCCCAUCCAGUAGAUGACAAUCUAAAAUGUGUGGCAGCAUUAUGGGAAGGUCCCCCAAAGGAAUGGAUAGUCCAAGAGAAAGUAAAGUAAAACAGAAAGAAAGGCAUUCACCAAGUUCAUUAGCAAGAAAACUUGGUUCUGUCCUAGUGAUCACAUCUCAGAGCAGGACUUAAGUUCCUCAGUUCCAAUAAACAAGAAAGAGGUCACUCCUCAGAACCGGGGAUGCGAUACCAAAAUUAGAAUCCAAUAAGCAAAACGGGGGCAUACAGUGAUUAUUAGAAAUAAGGCAGAAUCCCACUUAGGAGAUCUAGGAUACAAGGUUGGAGCAAGAAUACAAGAAAGGGAAUUUGAUGCUGACAUGCAAAGAGGUAGUCUAGAGCUCUUCAAACAUUUCUGCUUCUGGCCUGGAUGGUCCUACACAGGUAUCAAAUGGUGACAGAUAUGAGGGAUAGGAAGAAUGCAGGCCAGGGAUUCAGAAUCGGUAUAUUAUAAAUUUUUCUUAAAUAGAACAAACAGGGACAGGUUGGGAGGACAAUCGAGGCAAAAAUGAGGCAAUUUAAUAUACUUUUUUAUCAUUGAGCAGAUUAAUUUUAAUUUUGACCUUGCUUCUCAUUAACUGUAUUUGGCCUUCCCUAAAAUAGGAAUAUGUCUGGAGUGUAGGAAGAAUAGUAAUCAAGGCAGUGUUUGUGGAUCGGAUUGAGUGAACAGUUAAGUGGCAAGGUCAGAGAAGUAGAAGAUGGAAGAAACAUCACGUCACUCUAAACCGCCUGGUUUGUAUUUUCCUGAAAUAUUGGAAUCUUUGGAAAAUUUGAAACAGAGGAAUUAUACCCAACUGACUUGCACUUCUAGAGGAUAAUGUGGGCUAUUGUGUUGAAAAUAAGAUAGGAGAUAAUGAUGGGAGAUGGGUGAGCAGUUAGUGGUUAUUGUACUUUAUGGUGACUGGAAUUGAGAUGCUUACAGUAGAACUGGGAGAAGAAAUUGUAUUCCACAUUCUAGACUCAGAUAUACAAAUACUUUGGCCUUUGAAAAUAAGGAAACUAAAGCUCAUUUCAAGGACAAAGCUAUGAAAAGAAUUCUUGAUUCUACAUCAAUUAUUAUUCUUACUGAUUCUUCUGAUCAAAAGUGGUAUAGUUGCAUAGUACAGCAGAUUAAAUUGGCUAUUAGCAUAUGAUUUAUUAGAAGUACGAAAUUCUAAAUUUUUUAGUAGAGAAGUUUCACUGUAUGAUUUGUUAAUUUUGCAAAAUGUGUGCAAUAGUUUGACUAAUAUGUACAUUAUCCUGCC